rnacentral:rRNA from 1 species
AACGAACGCUGGCGGCAGGCCUAACACAUGCAAGUCGAGCGAGCAUUUCGGUGCUAGCGGCGGACGGGUGAGUAACGCGUGGGAACGUGCCCUUUUCUGCGGAAUAGUCCUGGGAAACUGGGGGUAAUACCGCAUACGCCCUUUUGGGGAAAGAUUUAUCGGAGAAGGAUCGGCCCGCGUUGGAUUAGGUAGUUGGUGGGGUAAUGGCCCACCAAGCCGACGAUCCAUAGCUGGUUUGAGAGGAUGAUCAGCCACACUGGGACUGAGACACGGCCCAGACCCCUACGGGAGGCAGCAGUGGGGAAUCUUAGACAAUGGGGGCAACCCUGAUCUAGCCAUGCCGCGUGAGUGAUGAAGGCCUUAGGGUUGUAAAGCUCUUUCAGCUGGGAAGAUAAUGACGGUACCAGCAGAAGAAGCCCCGGCUAACUCCGU